rnacentral:lncRNA from 1 species
UUCAUCUUCUUCAUAAGCCUCCCGCACCACUCCUCACUCCAUUCCAUUUUCUUGUAUUUCUUCUUACACCCCACCUCAAUUUCCUUUCUCUUCUUCUAACUCUCCAUCUCCACUUCUAUUAUCUUCAUUAAUUUCUUCAAGAAAGAAAAAAAAUGUGUGUGAAAAGUUAUGAAUUUUAAUGAGUUAGAAAAUAAUUUUGGAAAAGAAAGUCUUUCAAUACAUGAUUGUUGAACUAAAUUAUUUAUGUGAAUUUUCAAGAAAUCUGUUGUUGGAUUUAUGAGAUUGCCUUUUGUAUCCACCAUUAUUGAAUCUUGAAAAAGCUUGAAGACAAAAAAAAAUGAGUGUAAAAUUCAUGGUUGAUGUUCAAAUUGAUUAUUGGGGUUUUCCGAUGAUGAUGUGAAGUUGUACUUGAAUUUUAAGUUUGAUUGGUAUGAAUUUUACUUGUUUAAUUUUGUAUCUGCCAUUGUUGAAGCUUGAAAAAGCCUGAAGACAAAAAACAUGAGUUCGGCGAAUUCAAGAUGAGAUUGAUGUCGAAAUUGAUUAUUGAAGUUUUCUGAUGAUGUUGUAAAGUUGUAUUUGAAAUUUGAGUUUGAUUGGUAUGAAUUUUGCUAGUUUAAUUUUGUAUUCACCAUUAUUGAACCUUUAAAAAAGUUUAAAGACAAAAAAAAAUGAGUUUAUUGAAUUUAU